AUGGCAACCCACUCCAGUAUUUUUCCUAUGACUUUCAUUCUUUGGUCUUUCUUAUACCAUCUCCUUCAGAACCACCCCUCACAUACCCACACCCACUGUCCCCUAAACUCAAACUCCUUCCCUCCUGGCUCUACAGAGCAAUUCUAUACAGACCAUGCCCUGGGGGCUUUCCUUCCCAACAAAGUGAUUUAUUUUUCCAAAAAAAAUGACUUUCCCAUUUAUGGUAUUUCAGCACCCAGCUUUAAAAUAAAAACAUUUCUCUCUACCAUAACACACACACAAUUAAUUUUAAUAAGUAAAAAGUCCAUAUUUCAUUAUGGUUUUAGUUUCCAUUUCCUUGUUCUUUUAGGUACUGAGGUCAUUCUUAGUGGGGGUUUUUUGUUUGUUUCUAUUUAUGUGUAUCUUCCAAGUAAAUGUUAACUUUUUAUCCUUUCUGAUGGCUUGCAUUUUAAUUUUGGCUAUGCCAAAGUGUUUUAAUUUUUAUGUAGUCAAUCUGCCAGUGUUUGUUCCUUGUGACUUCUUUAACCAUGUGUAACGUUCCUUGCUUUACCCUGGAAGUUUUUUUCUGAAAGUUUUAUGGUUUUUGUUUUUAUGUUUAUAUUUGGCGUUUUUUUUUUUUUUUUGACCAUCUAUUAUAAUUGGAAUAAUUCACCUGUGAUAUAAAAUAGAGCCUAAAUGAAAUUUUUUCCCCAUCUGCUAAUCAAACUUUACAAAGUCUUAUCACCCAGCAGAACCUGUGACACAUAAUGAAUUCUUACUAAAUGGUUACAGACAAUGAAUGCAUCUCUGUAUGCUGAGAAAACAACACUCUCUUCUUCCCUCACUGAACUCUGUUUUACUUGGGGACUUGAUACACUUUGGGAAAAGCGAAUUUCUAAUGGAAAUUGUUAGUCUUUCCCAAGUUGUGAAUCUACAGUAGGAGGUAGUCAGAAAAGACUUCAGCAUUACUCACAGGGCAAGGCCCAAAUACCCUCCUGGAUCUCUGACAAUAGAGGCAUGAGAACUGCAAAGGGAGCAAUAGAACAACGUCUAGGUGUAAGCAGCUGGUCUGGUUCUCUACCUGGAAAAUCCAAGAGCUAUCAGAAAAACAACAGGAGAAUAGAAGACAAACAGAAGAAUGUAGUGCGGUAGCACACUAUGAAAGCCAACAUAUGAAAAUCAAUAGCUUUCCCUAAAUCUAAUUAUGAAUAAAUUGAAUAUCAAUCAAAUUGACACUCAUUUUACAUAAUAACUGGCCUGUUCUCUUCAAAUUUAUUAUAGUUCAGUUCAGUUCAGUCGCUCAGUCGUGUCCGACUCUUUG
rnacentral:lncRNA from 1 species